GUGGGGAAUCUUGCGCAAUGGGCGAAAGCCUGACGCAGCCAUGCCGCGUGAAUGAUGAAGGUCUUAGGAUUGUAAAAUUCUUUCACCGGGGACGAUAAUGACGGUACCCGGAGAAGAAGCCCCGGCUAACUUCGUGCCAGCAGCCGCGGUAAUACGAUGGGGGCUAGCGUUGCUCGGAAUUACUGGGCGUAAAGGGCGCGUAGGCGGACAGUUUAGUCAGAGGUGAAAGCCCAGGGCUCAACCUUGGAAUUGCCUUUGAUACUGGCUGUCUUGAGUACGGGAGAGGUGAGUGGAACUCCGAGUGUAGAGGUGAAAUUCGUAGAUAUUCGGAAGAACACCAGUGGCGAAGGCGACUCACUGGCCCGUUACUGACGCUGAGGCGCGAAAGCGUGGGGAGCAAACAGGAUUAGAAACCCUUGUAGUCC
rnacentral:rRNA from 1 species